rnacentral:rRNA from 1 species
CAUUCGAGUGGCGGACGGGUGAGUAACGCGUGGGUAACCUGCCUUACGCAGGGGGAUAACACCUGGAAACAGGUGCUAAUACCGCAUAAGCGCACAGGGCCGCAUGGCCCGGUGUGAAAAACUCCGGUGGUGUAAGAUGGACCCGCGUCUGAUUAGCUUGUUGGCGGGGUAGGGGCCCACCAAGGCGACGAUCAGUAGCCGGCCUGAGAGGGUGGACGGCCACAUUGGGACUGAGACACGGCCCAAACUCCUACGGAAGGCAGCAG